AUUCCACCAGUGAUGGUUCCUCAGACCAUGCAACACUCGGUGACUGUAACCUUUUGGAGUCUUACGUACGGCACUCGUCUAAAUCUAGAUCUGCUCGCAUGCGAGGUCGCGAUAAUUAGUGGAAGCUGCACUGAGAAAACGCGAUGCCAGCGAUGACAGCGGUUGCGGCAACAGGCGAAGGAGCAGAGCGGACGCGGCGGUGGCCAUCGAUGGCGGGGCUGGCGAAGAAGCAACGCGGCAAGUUCUACAUCGUGCGUCGCUGCAUCAUCAUGCUCGUCUGCUGGCGAGAUUACCCUUAAAGUGUGUGUAUUUGUAAAUCCUUGUAUGCAUAAUAGUAUCAUUAAAAUAGCAAUAUGUGAGCGGUGGCAGCAACAAGCGAAGGAGCCGAGCGGACGCGGCGGUGGCCAUCGAUGGCGGGGCUGGUGAUGAAGCAACGCGGCAACUUCUACGUAUAUCAUAAUAGUAGCAUUAAAAUAGCAAUAUGUGAGUGAAUUCUCUACUAGAAAUCUUAUUGGCUAUAGCAUCUAUAUUUAUUGUUCUAUUUUUCUAAGGAAUAAGAUAUCUCUCUAUAUAUAUAGAGAGAUAUGAUAUGUUAAGCUACUAUUUGUGUGUGAUCUGAGUGACACACAGAUGUGAUAUUGUUAACUCGAUUUUUUUUGUAAAAAAAUAUUUUAUUUA